GCUUGUCUCAAAGAUUAAGCCAUGCAUGUCUAAGUGUAAAUACGUCUACACUGUGAAACUGCGAAUGGCUCAUUAAAUCAGUUAUCGUUUAUUUGAUGAUCUCUUGUUACAUGGAUAACCGUAGUAAUUCUAGAGCUAAUACAUGCACAAAAUCCCGACUUACGAAGGGAUGUAUUUAUUAGAUACAAACCAACAUCGUGGUGAUUCAUAAUAACUUUGCGAAUCGCAUGGCCUUGUGCCGGCGAUGAAUCAUUCAAAUUUCUGCCCUAUCAACUUUCGAUGGUAAGGUAUUGGCUUACCAUGGUUGCAACGGGUAACGGAGAAUUAGGGUUCGAUUCCGGAGAGGGCGCCUGAGAAAUGGCGACCACAUCCAAGGAAGGCAGCAGG
rnacentral:rRNA from 1 species